rnacentral:tRNA from 1 species
GGCUACGUAGCUCAGCUGGUUAGAGCGCGGCAUUCAUAAUGCUGAGGUCGUUGGUUCAAGUCCAACCGUAGCUACCA